UCCCUGCCUUUUCCGCCCUCCCAUCCCCCUCCCUCAGCCCGCUGCCGCUGCUCCAGAUAAGGUGAUGGCAACGGCUAACUUCGGCAAGAUCCAGAUCGGGAUUUACGUGGAGAUCAAGCGGAGUGAUGGCCGAAUACACCAAGCAAUGGUAACAUCUUUAAACGAAGCUAAUGAAAGUGUAACUGUUGAAUGGAUAGAAAAUGGAGAUACAAAGGGCAAAGAGAUUGACCUGGAGAGCAUCUUUUCACUUAACCCUGACCUUGUCCCUGAUGAAGAACUUGAACCCAGUCCAGAAACACCUCCACCUCCCACGUCCUCAAAGUAAACAAAAUUGUAAAGAAUGGACGGACUGUGGCUUCUGUUAAGAAUGACCCUCCACCAAGAGAUAAUAGAGUGGUUGGUUCUGCCUGUGCGCAGCCUAGUCAGCUUCCUGAACAGUCUUCCUCUGCACAACAGAAUGCACGUAGAAGAUCUAAUUGUGUGAAAGAAGCAGAAAAAUUGCAAGAAAAACGAGAAAAAAGGAGACCGCAACAUCAAGAACUUAGAGAAAAAAGAGCCCAGGAUGUUGAUGCUACAAAUCCAAAUUAUGAAAUUAUGUGCAUGAUCAGAGACUUUAGAGGAAGUUUGAACUAUAGAUCAUUAACAACAGCAGAUCCUAUUGAUGAACAUAGGACAUGUGUUUAUGUAAGAAAACGACCACUCAAUAAAAAAGAAACUCGAAUGAAAGAUCUUGAUGUAAUCACAAUUCCUAGUAAAGAUGUUGUGAUGGUACAUGAACCCAAACAAAAAGUAGAUUUAACAAGGUACCUAGAAAACCAAACAUUUCAUUUUGAUUAUGCCUUUGAUGACUCAGCUCCUAAUGAAAUGGUUUACAGGUUUACUGCUAGACCACUAGUGGAAACUAUAUUUGAAAGGGGAAUGGCUACAUGCUUUGCUUAUGGGCAGACUGGAAGUGGAAAAACUCAUACUACGGGUGAUGACUUUUCAGGAAAGAACCAAGAUUGCUCUAAAGGGAUUUAUGCAUUAGCAGCUCGAGAUGUCUUUUUACUGCUAAAGAAGCCAAACUAUAAGAAACUAGAACUUCAAGUAUAUGCAACCUUUUUUGAAAUUUAUAGUGGAAAGGUGUUUGACUUGCUAAAUAGGAAAACAAAAUUAAGAGUUCUAGAAGAUGGAAAACAGCAGGUUCAAGUGGUGGGAUUACAGGAACGGGAGGUCAAAUGUGUUGAGGAUGUCCUGAAACUCAAUGACCUAGGCAACAGUUGCAGAACAUCCGGUCAAACAUCAGCAAAUGCACUUUCAUCUCGGAGCCAUGCAGUGUUUCAGAUUAUUCUUAGAAGGAAAGGAGAACUAUAUGGCAAAUUUUCUCUCAUCGAUUUGGCUGGAAAUGAAAGAGAAGCUGAUACUUCUAGUACAGACAGGCAAACUAGGCUUGAAGGUACUGAAAUUAAUAAAAGCCUUUUAGCACUCAAGGAGUGCAUCAGAGCCUUAGGUAGAAAUAAACCUCAUACUCCUUUCCGAGCAAGUAAACUCACUCAGGUGUUAAGAGAUUCAUUCAUAGGUGAAAACUCUCGUACCUGCAUGAUUGCCACAAUCUCUCCAGGAAUGGCAUCCUGUGAAAAUACGCUUAAUACAUUAAGAUAUGCAAAUAGGGUCAACGAAUUGACUGUAGAUCCAACUGCUGCUGGUGAUGUUUGUCCAAUAAUGCACCAGCCCCCAAACCAGAUUGAGACACAGUGGGGUGUGGGGAGUUCCCCUCAAAGAGAUGAUCUAAAACUUCUUUGUGAACAAAAUGAAGAAGUUCCUUCACAAUUGUUUACUUUCCAUGAAGCUGUCUCACAAAUGGUAGAAAUGGAAGAACAAGUUGUAGAAGAUCACAGGGCAGUGUUCCAGGAAUCUAUUCGAUGGUUAGAAGAUGAAAAGCCUCUCCUAGAGAUGACUGAAGAAGUAGACUAUGAUGUAGAUUCAUAUGCCACACAACUUGAAGCUAUUCUUGAGCAAAAAAUAGACAUUUUAACUGAACUGCGGAAUAAAGUGAAAUCUUUUCGUGCAGCUCUACAAGAAGAGGAACAAGCCAGCAAGCAGAUCAACCCGAAGAGACCCCGUGCCCUUUAA